rnacentral:rRNA from 1 species
AUUGAACGCUGGCGGCAUGCUUUACACAUGCAAGUCGAACGGCAGCACGGGUGCUUGCACCUGGUGGCGAGUGGCGAACGGGUGAGUAAUGCAUCGGAACGUGCCUAUGAGUGGGGGAUAGCCCGGCGAAAGCCGGAUUAAUACCGCAUACGCCCUUAGGGGGAAAGCGGGGGAUCUUCGGACCUCGCGCUAUUGGAGCGGCCGAUGUCGGAUUAGCUAGUAGGUGAGGUAAAGGCUCACCUAGGCGACGAUCCGUAGCUGGUCUGAGAGGAUGAUCAGCCACACUGGGACUGAGACACGGCCCAGACUCCUACGGGAGGCAGCAGUGGGGAAUUUUGGACAAUGGGCGCAAGCCUGAUCCAGCCAUGCCGCGUGAGUGAAGAAGGCC